rnacentral:tRNA from 1 species
GGCUCCGUAGCUAAAUCGGUAGAGGCAGACUUUAAUUAGUUCUCCAACGAUUUUAUAAUCGCGUGGUGUAGGUUCAAGUCCUACCGGAGCAA